UCUGAAUUACCUAUAUUAAACUCGCUAUAAUGGAAUUAAGCCCCGUAAAUAAAAUUUAAAUUUUUUUUAGAA
rnacentral:tRNA from 1 species